rnacentral:rRNA from 1 species
CUACGGGAGGCUGCAGUGGGGAAUAUUGCACAAUGGGCGCAAGCCUGAUGCAGCCAUGCCGCGUGUAUGAAGAAGGCCUUCGGGUUGUAAAGUACUUUCAGCGGGGAGGAAGGGAGUAAAGUUAAUACUUUUGCUCAUUGACGUUACCCGCAGAAGAAGCACCGGCUAACUCCGUGCCAGCAGCCGCGGUAAUACGGAGGGUGCAAGCGUUAAUCGGAAUUACUGGGCGUAAAGCGCACGCAGGCGGUUUGUUAAGUCAGAUGUGAAAUCCCCGGGCUCAACCUGGGAACUGCAUCUGAUACUGGCAAGCUUGAGUCUCGUAGAGGGGGGUAGAAUUCCAGGUGUAGCGGUGAAAUGCGUAGAGAUCUGGAGGGAUACCGGUGGCGAAGGCGGCCCCCUGGACGAAGACUGACGCUCAGGUGCGAAAGCGUGGGGAGCAAACAGGAUUAGAUACCCCCGUAGUC